CGUAGGUGAACUGCGGAAGGAUCAUUAAA
rnacentral:rRNA from 1 species